rnacentral:rRNA from 1 species
AAUGAACGCUGGCGGCAGGCCUAACACAUGCAAGUCGAACGAGGCAGCAAUGCCUAGUGGCGGACGGGUGAGUAACGCGUGGGAACGUGCCCCUUGGUACGGAAUAGCCCUGGGAAACUGGGAGUAAUACCGUAUGUGGUCGAGAGACGAAAGAUUUAUCGCCAAGGGAUCGGCCCGCGUUGAAUUAGGUAGUUGGUGGGGUAAUGGCCUACCAAGCCGACGAUCCAUAGCUGGUUUGAGAGGAUGAUCAGCCACACUGGGACUGAGACACGGCCCAGACUCCUCCGGGAGGCAGCAGUGGGGAAUCUUAGACAAUGGGGGAAACCCUGAUCUAGCCAUGCCGCGUGAUAGAUGAAGGCCUUAGGGUUGUAAAGAUCUUUCAGUGGGGAAGAUAAUGACGGUACCCACAGAAGAAGCCCCGGCUAAUUCCGUGCCAGCAGCCGCCGUAA